CAUACGUUUUUGGGGCCAAGUGACACAAUAGUAAGGAAAAAAAUGAGAUCUGAUAUGGUAGAAACGUGAUUUGUCAUAUAUCGGCGGAAAUGGCGCCAAAUAUUUACUUUUCCACAAAUUGAGAUGUUUCCGAACGAAACAUAAACUUGUUUUACUAUAAACAUGUCAAUGUUCCGGAAGCAGGAACCACUUCCCAAAGGGAAGAGACUUUUCACGGGAGCACCAUCUCAGGCCAUCACCUGUCAAACUGUACAAAGUUGGUGGAAAACUGAAACGACAGUUCGAAGGGCCACGUCGUAUCUUUGGGGAUGCCUUUAUAAAUAAAACAUGUUGUAAAAUGAGUAUGAUCGAUCGAUGGGCUUGAUUAGUUGAUUUCUGGUAUCCAACCAUUAACAUAUUAAAAACACACACCUAAAAAUUUAUGUUUAGAUAACAAAUACAAAUAUCUAGAAUGAUAAGCAGUAGCUUUAUUUGUACUAAAUACUGAAGGGCGCAGUACUAAAGUAGGCCUCCGCUUAUUGUCUGUGCUAAACAUAGCAGCAACUAGUUUGUGUUGUCUACAUACUAUGGCAUAAGUAAACAUUCAGAUUAAUACUUUUCUUAUCAAUCAUUCGACAUACCUAAGUGAUAAAGUAUAACUUCCAAGUAUGCAAAAACUGGCAAAACUCUGGGUAAGUGACUUACCUUCUAAACUUGAACAUACCCUACAGAUUUAAAACUUUAAGUGAAAAAAGGAAGCAUUGCCACAUAUGAUAUAAGUGAAGAUUGAACAUUGUGGCUGUUGUUGUUCAACUAUGUCCAGUAGUAGCCCUACAAUGGUUUUAACCGAAAACCAGUUAAAGGCGCUUAAAGAAUUUCUGGGACAAGCGGGCGAUUAUUGUAUAUCCUUUUCAUCGGGAGUAGACGAGGGUGAAAAUUUCUGUGGAAUUAUAAUAAAGACCGAUGUAAAGUGGAAGGAGGGAAAUAAGGAAUCAACCUGUCAUUACAUUAUAAAGUGUACUCCACCAAGUGAAUCUUAACAAAGGCUAAUACCCGUGCAAACCGCCUUCAUAAUUGAAACAUACGUGUAUUCGAGAGUACUUAAGGAGUUCAAUAUAAUUCAACGGGAAUAUAACAUCAGAAAACCGUUGGAUUGUUUCCCAGUUUACUAUACGUCUUUAUCCACCCCAAAAGAACAAAUGAUAGUAUUGCAAAACGUAAAGGAACUAGGAUAUAGGCAUUACGAUCGAUUUCAACCUCUAGACUAGCCAGGU